rnacentral:rRNA from 1 species
UACGUAGGUGGCAAGCGUUGUCCGGAAUUAUUGGGCGUAAAGCGCGCGCAGGCGGUCCUUUAAGUCUGAUGUGAAAGCCCACGGCUCAACCGUGGAGGGUCAUUGGAAACUGGGGGACUUGAGUACAGAAGAGAAGAGUGGAAUUCCACGUGUAGCGGUGAAAUGCGUAGAGAUGUGGAGGAACACCAGUGGCGAAGGCGACUCUUUGGUCUGUAGCUGACGCUGAGGCGCGAAAGCGUGGGGAGCAAACAGG